UGCUCUACUCAGGGGGACUCUGCAGCAGCCGAAUCAACUAGUGGCUUGCUAUGUUAAUAAGGAUUUGCCAUGAGUUUAAUUUUUAAUCCCAAAAUUCUGUCUAAUGGACUAGCAAGAAAGUUAGUUACAUGGAUCAUAUCUGAGGAAUGAAAUAUAGUGACUAUCUUGUUUCUGGAAAUGGCUACAUGAACAUAUACCUCUAAAAUACAGAAGAAUGCAUAGGUAGUACAUUGUAAGGUCAUGUGAGUAAAGUUUCAAAGAGGUAUAAUAAUCUCUUUUAUAAUAGAAGCGUUAAAUAAGUAAAGAAAGAU
rnacentral:lncRNA from 1 species